GGCCGACUAGCUCAGUUGGUUAGAGCGUGGUGCUAAUAACGCCAAGGUCGUCGGUCCGAUCCCGGCGUUGGCCA
rnacentral:tRNA from 2 species